rnacentral:rRNA from 1 species
GGGGAAUAUUGCACAAUGGGCGAAAGCCUGAUGCAGCGACGCCGCGUGAGGGAUGACGGCCUUCGGGUUGUAAACCUCUUUCGACAGGGACGAAGCGCAAGUGACGGUACCUGUAGAAGAAGCACCGGCCAACUACGUGCCAGCAGCCGCGGUAAUACGUAGGGUGCGAGCGUUGUCCGGAAUUACUGGGCGUAAAGAGCUUGUAGGCGGUUCGUCGCGUCGUUCGUGAAAACUUGGGGCUCAACCCCAAGCUUGCGGGCGAUACGGGCGGACUAGAGUACUUCAGGGGAGACUGGAAUUCCUGGUGUAGCGGUGAAAUGCGCAGAUAUCAGGAGGAACACCGGUGGCGAAGGCGGGUCUCUGGGAAGUAACUGACGCUGAGAAGCGAAAGCGUGGGUAGCGAAC